rnacentral:lncRNA from 1 species
CCAGUUCGGGUGUUCCCGGUGAGCGUGAGGAUCGCGGUAAAGGCCCGGCGUUCUAGUCGCAUUAGCUACCUCCCUUUUGUAUUAGCUCUCACCCCCCUUCUUUUAUAUUUGAGAGUAGAUGAUGUAUAGGGUGAGGUUCGAGUGAUUGUAUUUAUAUUUUGGAAGAAUGCAAAAGAUGUAUUUGAAUGUAGUAAAUCAAAUGAAUGUAAUAGAUAGCCUCUUUUCUCUUAUGUACUUGUAUAUGUUUUUAUACUUGUAUCUUGCUCUUGUUUAUAGCACUGGUGGUGCUUCUUGAUCGUGUAUUUAUGAAUUGAUUCCUGGAUAAAUUCUUAUGCACGAUCUAUUGGUU